rnacentral:rRNA from 1 species
AUGGAGAGUUUGAUCCUGGCUCAGGAUGAACGCUAGCGGGAGGCCUAACACAUGCAAGCCGAGCGGUAUUGUUUCUUCGGAAAUGAGAGAGCGGCGUACGGGUGCGUAACACGUGUGCAACCUGCCUUUAUCUGGGGGAUAGCCUUUCGAAAGGAAGAUUAAUACUCCAUAAUAUAUUGAACGGCAUCGUUUAAUAUUGAAAGCUCCGGCGGAUAGAGAUGGGCACGCGCAAGAUUAGCUAGUUGGUGAGGUAACGGCUCACCAAGGCGAUGAUCUUUAGGGGGCCUGAGAGGGUGAUCCCCCACACUGGUACUGAGACACGGACCAGACUCCUACGGGAGGCAGCAGCGG